rnacentral:sRNA from 1 species
CCAGGGGCUCACGCCCCUGGCUACAUGCUUCCGCCCCUCCGGGGCU